ensembl:snRNA U6 U6 spliceosomal RNA
GUGCUCGCUUUGGCAGCACAUAUACUAAAAUUGGAAUGAUACAGAGAAGAUUAGCAUGGCCCCUGCACAAGGAUGACAUGCAAAUUCAUGAAGCGUUCCAUAUUUUU